GGAUGUGAGGGCAAUGUGGCUGUGACAUCGGUCACCUUAUUGAUCUCCAGGGUUGAUUCAGCUGAUCUGGCUGACUAGGCAGGUGUCCCCUUCCUCCCUCACCGCUCCAUGUGUGUCCCUCCUGAAGCUGUGAACUUUCCCCAAAGGAUGGCCUUCCCCGAAUAGAGACUGACCAGUCUUUGGUUGAGGGUAUACUAGUAGCUGCGCUCCCUUUCUAGAACCUCCAAACAAGUUCUCAACUCCACUGUGAAUACAAAACACCAGAGGAUUGUAUUUAAAAUACAGUUUCUGAUUCAGAGACUCUG
ensembl:misc_RNA 7SK 7SK RNA